rnacentral:rRNA from 2 species
GAUUUCUGGCGGAUCGAACUUGGCCGGCCACGGUUUCGUGUGUUAGUGCUUUGUUUUUUCGCCAUCCUUCCAAUGGCUAUUCAUCCUUCUUCAUUGAGGUGGUGAGUGGUAUUGGAUCUUUUACUUUGAAAAAAUUAGAGUGUUUCAAGCAGGCUUUAUGCUAUGAAUACAUUAGCAUGGAAUAAUAAUUUAGGACUUCGGUUCUAUUUUGUUGGUUUCUAGGACUGAAGUAAUGAUUGAUAGGGAUAGUUGGGGGUGCUAGUAUUCAGCGGCCAGAGGUGAAAUUCUCGGAUUCGCUGAAGACUAACUUAUGCGAAAGCAUU